GUGCGGGCCCUGUGCAAUGAAGCACUGUGAACCAUGUCAGGCGGGGAACCGAGCAGCAUUAAGCGGAUCGUUUCAUGUGCCGCAGCAAGCCUGCACACC
rnacentral:SRP_RNA from 1 species